UCUCUCUACCUUUAUCUACUGUUCCCUCUAAGUUCUAUCUUAAUUCUCUCGUCCUAAUUCUGCCUCAUCUAGGUCUUCUCAUCUCGUUCUUACCCAGCUAGUACUUCCCCAUCUGGCUCUUCCUCAUCUUCCGUCUCGUCCACGUUUUCUCUGGUCAAAAUCCUCCGUGUCCCUCUCAGUUCUCCAUCCUCAAGUUCCCUACCUUCUCUCCAUCUCCUCAUACCUCUAAGUUCUAUCCUCUCUGAAAAUAAAACUGCCUUUUUAUCCCUUUGACCCUCAUCUGUCCAAGCUAUCUAUCAUUUUUCUGCAGGGUGGGGGAAAGUGUGCUCGGUUGCUAGGCAACCUGUGUACAGCUAGAUGCCUCUGGUGAUAGUUAAAGGGAGAUCUGGAACUAGAGUUAAGAUUUGGGAAAGGAGACAGUUAAGCUUAAUUGGCACAUCUGCCAGGCCUUCUCAAACAGGUAGUCUGGACACUUAAGUCUGUUCUUAGAGAGUACAGAGGUAUCUCUGAUAAGGUACUUUCCUCUAUCUAGGGAUGGACCUGGCCGGAUGCUGCCAGUGAUGAUAAUCACAGGGAGAGGCUUGAACUGGGUUCUGGCUGUGUAUAGCUGUCAGUACAGAAGAGUUAUCUAAAUAUCCUUAGAAGUGGUUAGGGAAGGAGUUAAAGGUCUAUAAAGUUAGUAAGGCUGUAAGAAAAGGAGGGUUCGAGCUAAAUUGUUUGAAGCUAUUACUUAAGGUCCACUUGACCUAGGUGGUGUCUCUGUGUGGAAUUUAUCUUAAUUCAGGAGACUUAUUAUGUGGUGGUCUGGACUGUUAUUUCUGUUAGUACUUGAAUGUGGCUAAGGGAGAUAUCUGAUUCCAGUGCUGAAAGGGGAGAAAUGGAUGGGCCUGAGAGAAGGAAGUCUUUCCUGAGGUUGUUCUCCAAAACCUCGAAUGUAUAUGUCCAGUGAUCAGUGCACACUGUUAGCAAUUCUUAGGAAAAAAUCAACUGGGAAAGCUAUGCAGGCACAGGAUUUUCAUGAUAGAAGACAGCUGAUAUAUAACAAGCCAAAUAACACCAAAAGCUCCUUGGAAUUUGGCUUCCUCUGAAGGAAUUCCUUGAUCCCUUCAAGUAGUGGCUUUGGCAUAACCAGCUGAGUUCUUACAAUAUAUUCCUGUGGCCUGUAGCACUAUGAGAAGACAUACUUUACUCCCUGGUCAUAUUUUCUCCUAAAACCUAUUUUCCCCGAUACUAAUGGGGCCAGUCUAGCUUUGUUUUGCUGAGUAUUAAUGUGGUAUAUUAUUUUUUACUUAUUUGCAUCUUUAUAUUUAAAAUAGGUUUCUUAAAAGCAGUACACAAUUGGGUCUUUUUUAUUCAGUCUGGCAAUCCUUGCCUUUUAUUUGGAGAUGUGAAAGCCAUUUAUAUUUAAUGUAACUAUUAGGAUGUCUUGGUUUAAGUUGACUAUGUUGCUGUUUUCUACUUGACUCAUCUGCUCCUCCUUCAUUUUCAUUUUACAACUUUGUCUUUUUUCUUUCUUUGAGACAAGGUCUCAUGUAGUCCAAGCAGGCCUUGAAUUCACAUGUAGAUGAGGCUAGCUUUGAAUUCCUGAUUCUCCUGUUUUCCAAGGCCUGAGAUUAUAGGUGACCAACUCUCAGAGAAGAGCCUGGCACCCCAGGAGGAAGAAUACUGUAGAAGAGCAGAAGAAACUGUUUUCAGCUACCCACAAACCUGCAGACACAGCCAAGUCCCAGGUCAUUAGAGCAUACUUCAACUGUUCCAACAUUCCAUUUGCCUUUGGAAAUACUUCUUUGCAGUCUACUCCCCUCCAUGGCAUUUCUCCUAAAGAUGUGACCAACCUGAACACUGGCAACUGUGACCAGCCACUAAAUGACAACAUGAGCUCCUAGGACAUCUGUGGCUCCAUAGCUGGGAAACACCCUGGGCAUUUGUUCCUUUCAAUGCGGAAACAAACCUUUCUUUUGUAUUGA